AGGCCAUGGUAGGGACAUCUUCUUUGAAGAUCCUUGAAUCUCUCCCAAAUUUCAUACAAAGAUUCACUUUCUUGUUGAGUAAUACCUGUGAUAUCCAUACAAAAUGU